UACGUAGGGUGCGAGCGUUGUCCGGAAUUACUGGGCGUAAAGCGCGUGUAGGCGGCUUUUGCAAGUCGGGUGUGAAAGCCCUCAGCUUAACUGAGGAAGUGCGCCCGAAACUGCUUGGCUUGAGUACCGGAGAGGAGUGGCGGAAUUCCCCAAGUAGAGGUGAAAAUUCGUAGAUAUGGGGAGGAACACCGGUGGCGAAGGCGGCCAUCUGGACGGAUACGUGACGCUGAGACGCGAAAGCGUGGGUAGCAAACGAGGA
rnacentral:rRNA from 1 species